rnacentral:misc_RNA from 1 species
AAAACAUCUAUCGCGGCCAUCUUUCCUAGCGGUACGUCAAGCGCUCUUAUGUUCCUCGUUUCGUUUUCUUAUAAUUUUCGUGGCCGAUUCUCGCGAUUAAUCAUCAUAAAGUAGAAUUAAGUUUGUUUUCAGUGGUGAAGUGCUGACGGAUAGUGUUUUUUCGGUGACACGACUAAUAUUUACCGCGACAAUUUCGUUCGAAAACUUCAGGUCUGCAUCAAUUACGCCAGCGACGGGAACGAUUUUCUGUCGCGCUGACAACGAGAGAUUCAAAGAAAAGAAGGGUAUUCAUUUUGGAAAUUCGAUAAAGCAUGUGGAAUGCGGAAACCCGUCAAAAUGGUACUAAGAUCCAGUCAACGACAAAUUCGUCCUCGGCUAAUCCCACAUCUGGAGGGAAGCCCCCGGGCACGGCGAAAACUCUGGGUAUGACCUCCGCCAUAAGUAUGGCCGAACCGAAACCAGAAGACAUCCAGAAAACAAAAGAAUUGGAGAAAGCCCUUGAACCUUAUAAUGUAUUCGAAACAGAAGCCGAAUUAAAUCAUCGUAUGGAGAUUUUAGCAAAGUUAAACACAUUGGUUAAACAAUGGGUGCGUGACGUGGCUAUAUCGAGGAACAUGCCGCCACAAAUGGCUGAAAAGUUAGGGGGAAAAAUCUACACAUUUGGUUCAUAUCGACUGGGGGUACAUCAUAAAGGAGCUGAUAUAGAUGCUCUGUGUGUGGCGCCGUGUAAUAUUGAGAGAUCCGAUUAUUUCACAUCAUUUUUCGAGUUGCUGAAAAAACAACCCGAAGUGACAGAGUGUCGGUCAGUGGAGGAGGCAUUUGUGCCGGUUAUAAAAAUGAACUUUGAUGGUGUGGAAAUCGAUUUGCUGUUUGCUCGUUUAGCACUUAAGGAGAUCCCUGACAAUUUCGAUUUGCGGGAUGACAUGUUGCUGAAAAAUUUAGAUCCGAAAUCAGUUCGAAGUUUGAACGGUUGCCGCGUGACGGAUGAGAUUCUGAGUCUCGUACCAAACAUAGAUAACUUUCGUUUAGCAUUAAGAGCGAUAAAGUUAUGGGCAAAAAAACAUGGUAUCUAUUCGAAUUCCCUUGGUUAUUUUGGAGGUGUUACGUGGGCCAUGCUGGUAGCCCGAACUUGCCAACUAUAUCCUAAUGCCGCGCCUGCCACCUUAGUGCAUAAGUUCUUUUUAGUUUGUUCGAGAUGGAAGUGGCCACAUCCGGUGUUGCUAAAACAUCCAGAAAAUAUUAAUCUGGGCUUUCCGGUUUGGGAUCCUCGAGUGAAUAUAUCUGAUCGGUAUCAUCUAAUGCCAAUUAUAACACCUGCAUAUCCACAACAAAAUUCUACAUUUAAUGUCACCGAGUCCACAAAGAAAGUAAUUUUGGCGGAAUUCAAUAGAGGCAUGGCGACCACGGAGGAAAUAAUGUUAUGUAAAGCGACAUGGGAUCGGUUAUUCGAAGCGCCUAGUUUCUUUUAUAGGUACCGACACUUCAUUGUUUUACUGGUUAGCUCAAACACAGCCGAGGACCAUUUGGAGUGGUGUGGAUUAGUGGAAUCAAAAAUACGUCUAUUAGUGGGGAACCUAGAGCGUAACCAACAUAUUUCUUUAGCACAUGUUAAUCCAAAAUGUUUUGAUAUUUAUCGACAGAAAGGUAGCCAAAAUGCUAGUACAAAUAAUUGCGAUGAAAAUUCAAGCAAUCCUUCGGACGAAAAUUCUAAGCCAAUCGCACCAUUUUGUUCAAUGUGGUUUAUUGGGCUUGAAUUUGAACGUAUGGAAAAUUUAAAUGUCGAUUUAACUGAUAGUAUACAGAGUUUCACAGCACAAGUUCAUUCACAUGCAGUAAACAUAAAAAUGCUAAAGAUGGGAAUGCAAAUUGAAGCGCGACAUGUGAAACGAAAACAGCUAAAUCAGUAUCUAGACCCAGAACUACUCAAGCGCGAAAGACGGAGCACAGAGCACCACAAUAGUUUCUCAAACUCAAUGAUGGCAUCGAAAAAGCGGCUGUCAUCGGAGCUAUCGUCUCAACCUCAAAAGAAGAAUCGAAACAGCGAGACCCAGCCACAACAGCACGAAGAAAAUUCAAAUGCAUCGUCAGUAGGCAGCGAAGUGUCUACGUCAUCGUCAACGGCAAAGGCGUCACGAACACCGACCACUCCUGAUGCAUCAUUGGCGUCGUUGCGACAUCCACCGCUGCUAACAUCAUCUACAUCGGCGAAGGCGUCGUCAUCAUUAUCGUCCACGGAAGUGUCGUCAUCGAUAACUACGACUACAAUUCCAUCUAUGAGCAGUUGCAAUGAUGUUGAUCAUCAAUCUGCAGACGCUUCGAAGACGACGAAAUCUUCAUCGACGGCAUCGGCGGGAACAAGUGCGCCAGAAGUGGCCUGUUCGUGACAACAGAACUUCCAUGAAUCCGAGAAUGAGAACGGAGCAAUUUUGACUACGGUUACUUAUUUAUUAUUUAAGCUUUAUCCCCACGAUUUAAUUCGUAUUUUUCUUUGAGACAGUCGAAUGGAAGCAGGAAGUUUAUUUCUUUCAUGAAUAAAAGUCAACGUUUUUCUUCCUAA